AUUGAACGCUGGCGGCAGGCCUAACACAUGCAAGUCGAACGAGUGGCGGACGGGUGAGUAAUGUCUGGGAAACUGCCUGAUGGCGGGGGAUAACUACUGGAAACGGUAGCUAAUACCGCAUACCAUCGGAUGUGCCCAGAUGGGAUUAGCUAGUAGGUGGGGUAAAGGCUCACCUAGGCGACGAUCCCUAGCUGGUCUGAGAGGAUGACCAGCCACACUGGAACUGUGGCACGGUCGAGACGCCACCGGGAGGCAGCAGUGGGGAAUAUUGCGCAAUGGGCGCAAGCCUGAUGCAGCCAUGCCGCGUGUAUGAAGAAGGCCUUCGGGUUGUAAAGGACUUUCAGCGGGGAGGCGGUACCCGCAGAAGAAGCACCGGCUAACUCCGUGCCAGCAGCCGCGGUAAGAC
rnacentral:rRNA from 1 species